UAUCCACUAAAACCCUUCUUCACCAAACACAUAUCCAAACUGGGGAUCAAGAUUCUCACUUUGACUCAUCAAUGGCGGACGACGACAUUGAAGAACCAGCCGCUCCGAUUUCUUCAAACCGACCAAAAAAAGAAAGAGGCUCACAUCGAUGCUUCUAACAGGCCAAAAAGUUGAAGUGAGGAGUAUUGAAGAGGGGUUUGAAGGCUCAUGGCAUUCAGCAUCGGUGCAUUGAGCAACGGUUAAGAGGGGUUUGAAGGCUCAUGGCAUUCAAAAUAUCUUCUCCGUCUGUUUGUUACAGAGAUAGUUGAGAUCUCUGUGAUUUUCCUUUGAAAGUAUGAAAUGAAAAUUGUUAGUUUGUUUUGGUUCAUCUUGUGCUUCAUUUCGUAGUCUAAGUGGAAGAGUUGAUAAUUUGGUUAGUAAUUUGAGAUUCCUUGUUAUAACUAUGGGGUUGUGAAUCGGUGGGGUUGGUGGUGGUUGUGGUGGUGAAUGGCGGUGGCAGUGGUGGUACCCGGUGGUGAUUAUUGUGGUGGAUGAGAGAGAGAGACAGGAAGUGGAAGCUCAGAUGGAAGUGCAAUACAAACGAAGGCAAAAGAUUCUGCAGAAGAUGUUGCAAACUGAUCUACAGAUGUUCUUUCUCUUAUCAAAUCUACACGGUUUUAUAAAGGCUGCAGACAAAUCUGGUGGUGACCUUCUGUGACGCUUAAAUGGCUAAAGUUCUAGUUGCUGCAUUUCAGUUUGUGAUCUUGAGUUAAUUUGAGGUGUAGUAAAUUGACUUUGGCUUUUUUUUUUCUUGUUUUUGGUGUAAAACCAUUACAAUGGUAAUUAACAGUAAUUUGAGGUGUAAUAAUUCUUAUGAAGAUUAUUCAAAGCCAACAUAGAACAGAUUAUUC
rnacentral:lncRNA from 1 species